ensembl:miRNA
GAAAUGCCUCCAUGAGAUCCAGCUGUAAGGCUUUUUCUCAAUUAGUGAUCAAUGGGGAAGGGCCCAGGUGGGUGGUGCCAUCCCUGAGCUGGUGGUCCUG